rnacentral:misc_RNA from 1 species
CCUCCUUAUACGAUUUAGAACUUAUUUGUUCGUAGUGUCCACACAGAUGAUUGUUAGUUAGUUUCACCUUUGGGUUUAACUGAUUAAUAUGCUCUUUAAAAAUUUGGAAAAGCUGAUAAUAAAAUUCGUAUGAAUGACAUUUGUUAUUUGUACAGAGUUUUCAAAAGUAAAAAAGAAUGAUAGCAGUAUCAUUCAGUGCCAUUUAAUAAACGUUUACGUUUGUUGAUUGGUAUCUACUUUAGUAUUCAAUAUUAACUUCUGGCGAAGUUAAACUGUCACAAAACAAAGACCCGUUUGGGUUGUAUGGUUAAGUGACUAAGCGUACACGGUGGAUGC